UACGGAGGGGGUUAGCGUUGUUCGGAAUGACUGGGCGUAAAGCGCGCGUUAGGCGGCCCGGUAAGUCCGUUGUGAAAGUCAAAGGCUCAACCCUUUGAACGCCGAUGGAUACUGCCGGGCUAGAGUCCGGAAGAGGCGAGUGGAAUUCCUGGUGUAGCGGUGAAAUGCGCAGAUAUCAGGAGGAACACCGGUGGCGAAGGCGGGUCUCUGGGCAGUAACUGACGCUGAGGAGCGAAAGCGUGGGGAGCGAACAGG
rnacentral:rRNA from 1 species